rnacentral:rRNA from 1 species
CAGCAGCCGCGUGAAUACAGAGGGUGCGAGCGUUAAUCGGAUUUACUGGGCGUAAAGCGUGCGUAGGCGGCUUCUUAAGUCGGAUGUGAAAUCCCUGAGCUUAACUUAGGAAUUGCAUUCGAUACUGGGAAGCUAGAGUAUGGGAGAGGAUGGUAGAAUUCCAGGUGUAGCGGUGAAAUGCGUAGAGAUCUGGAGGAAUACCGAUGGCGAAGGCAGCCAUCUGGCCUAAUACUGACGCUGAGGUACGAAAGCAUGGGGAGCAAACAGGAUUAGAUACCCCCGUAGUCCCUGUCUCUUAUAC